GAUUUAGAGGAGGGACCCGGCCUAGCCGGUGGUUCAGGUGGCCGGUCGGGCUGGAAGGGCGGGGAUGAGGGAUGGGACGCAUCCCCGGGGGAUGCUCCUCCAAAGCUUUUAUCGGGCGAGCGCAGUGGCUCACGCCUGUAAUUCCUGCACUUUGGGAGGCUAAGGAUGAAAGGCUUCCUAGCACAAACACCACCCCUGGAGUUCCCGGUACAUCAAUACCAGCCUGGGGAUCACGUUCUCAUCAAGAGUUGGAAGAGGGAAAGCUUGAACCAGCUUAGGAGGACCUCAUCUGGUACUCUUGAUGAAUGAAACAGCAAUCUGAAUGGCUGAAAAAGGAUGGACCCAGCACUCCAGGGAGAAAACUUGGCAUUCUUUGGGAAUCUAACAGGAUGCAGUGAACCCAAGCCUUUUGAAGAGCUCACCAAUCAGACUGCCCUUGUCUAUCCAUGAGCAGAUGUUUGAUAGUAUUGCGGAGGCCCUCUAGUGGGUAUGCUGCCAAGCAACUGGAGUGGCACUUGGGCUCUAAUCCAGUUGUCUAUCCCUUUCACCCUGGCAUUUCAUCAGCCAAACAAAAACCAACUAACUCAGAAAAAAAGGAAAGCCCCUCAAGGGUCCUUUGACCCCGAUAUCUACAUAGAUGCUAUCGGGGUCCCCUGAGGGGUACCAAACGAAUUCAAAGCUCGAAAUCAAAUAGCUGCUGGAUUCAAGUCUGUCCUUUUCUUGUGGUCUACUAUAAAUAAAAAUGUAGACUGGAUAAAUUACAUAUACUAUAACCAACAACGAUUUGUCAGUUACACCAGGGAUGCCAUUAAAGGAAUAGCUGAACAAUUGGGUUUCACCAGCCAAAUGGCCUGGGAAAAUAGAAUAGCUCUUGACAUGAUAUUAGUGGAAGUCCAAUGUUGUACCUGUAUCCCCAAUAAUACAGCCCCUGAUGUAACUAUCACUAAGGGUCUAUAAGGCCUCACCACUCUAGGAAAUGAACUAGCUGAAAAUUCGGGAAUGAAUGAUCCCUUUACAGGUGUAAUGGAAAAAAUGGUUUGGUAGAUGGAAAGGACUAAUGGCCUCUAUUCUCACCUCCCUUGUGAUCAUAAUAGGGGUGCUCAUUCUCUUAGGGUGCUGUAUUAUACCCUGUGUCUGCGGACUAGUUCAAAAGCUCAUAGAAACAGCCCUUACCAAGACCUCCCACAACUCUCCCCCACCCUAUUCAGAUAAACGUUUAUUUCUAAGCAACCAAGAAGAGCAGUGAAGCCAGAUCCUGUUAGAAAUAUAUGAAGAGGAAGGACUACAAAAUCAAAAGGGGAAAAUUAUUAGACAAAAUGAGUUGCUCUACAAAGGUCCAACUUCGUUGUCCUUUGUUCUGUAACCUUUGUUCUGUAAACUGCCCUUCCCGCAGAAACUGUCUUUCCCGCCGACCAAAACUGCCCUUCACUAUCACUGUAAUCCAUACCCCUACUCUAUUUGAAACUGCCAAUCGGGAUCAGCUUACAUUGUGUGGUUCAACCACCAGCCAAUGAGGAAAAAACACAGAAGCAAAAGCUAUGAUGCAUUAGGGUUAAAAACCCCUUCCUUUCCCUGUCCAAUGUGCUCUUGAGACUGCUACAGGCGCAAGCAGCCACCUUCUGCAGAAGUAAACCUUGCCUUGCUGAGAAAUUUUUCUUUUGAGUGCUGGUCUCUCUCUGUGGCACCAAGAACUUAUUUCUAACAUGGAGUGAUUUCCAAGAUAGAUGGUUAAGUGAAAAUAAAAACUGUUGCCAGGCACGGUAGCUCAUGCCUGUAAUCCCAGCACUUUGGGAGUCUGAGGAGGUUGGAUUAUUUGAGGUCAGGAGUUUGAGACCAGCCUAGCCAACAUGGUGAAAUCCUGUCUCUUCUAAAUAUACAAAAAAUUAGCCGGGCGUGGUUGUGGGUGCCUGUAAUCCCAGCUACUUGGGAAGCUGAGGCAGAAGAAUUGCUUAAACCCAGGAAGCAGAGGUUGCAGUGAGCCGAGAUCACAGCACUGCACUCCAGCCUGGGUGAUAGAGUGAGACUCGGUCUCAAAAACAAUAAUAAUAAUAAUAAUAAUACAAAUAAAAAAAUGAAAAUAAAGGCCAGGUGCUGUGGCUCACCCCUCUAAUCCCAGCACUUUGGGAGGCUGAGGCAGGUGGAUCACAAGGUCAGGAGUUCAAAACCAGCCUGGCCAAGAUGGUGAAACCCCGUCUCUACUAAAAAUACAAAAAUUAGCUGGGCACAGUGGCAGGCGCCUGUAAUCCCAGCUACUUGGGAGGCUGAGGCAGGAUAAUUGCUUAAACCUGGGUGGCAGAGGUUGCAGUGAGCCAAGAUCAUGCCACUGCACUCCAGCCUGGGC
ensembl:lncRNA ZNF561-AS1 ZNF561 antisense RNA 1 (head to head)